rnacentral:rRNA from 1 species
UACGUAGGGGGCUAGCGUUGUCCGGAAUCAUUGGGCGUAAAGCGCGUGUAGGCGGUUCGGUAAGUCCGCUGUGAAAGUCGGGGGCUCAACCCUCGGAUGCCGGUGGAUACUGUCGGGCUUGAGUACGGAAGAGGCGAGUGGAAUUCCUGGUGUAGCGGUGAAAUGCGCAGAUAUCAGGAGGAACACCAAUUGCGAAGGCAGCUCGCUGGGACAUUACUGACGCUGAGACGCGAAAGCGUGGGGAGCAAACAGG